rnacentral:tRNA from 1 species
GGUAAAAUAAGAUAAAGAUCAAGMWGUWGGGUUCAUACCCCAAAAAUGAAUAAUUAAUUCUUUUACAA